rnacentral:lncRNA from 1 species
UGACAAAAGAGAUGUGGUAUUUCAGGAGAGAGACCUUCCUGGGAGUUUUCCUGGCCACAGCCAAGUUGUUGGCCAUUCAAAACUAAGCAAGGUGGAGGAACCCACCGAGAUCCCAGGUCCCAAACCCUCUCUGAAGCAGUUUUGGAACAAAUAUUCUAAGUCAUCAAUGCAAAGCGAAGCAAUAGCCACCCAAGACACAGUCGGAGCAAUGCAGCAGAACUCUGAUGGGGUGCGGAGCAGCAAAGAGAUCAUGGUGGGGACACCCAGG